AUGCACAUGCCACCAUGCCCAGCUAAUUUUUGCAUUUUUAGUAGAGACAGGGUUUCACCAUGUUGGCCAGGAUGGUCUCAAUCUCUUGACCUCGUGAUCCAAGGCCUCCCAAAGUGUUGGGAUUACAGGCAUGAGCCACUGCACCUGGCCUGUGCCAUACACUUCCCCCUCUACCGCCCGAGAUGGAGUCUAGCUAUGUCACCCAGGCUGGAGUGCAGUGGCGCGAUCUCGGCUCACUCCAACCUCCACCACCCGGGUUCAAGCGAUUCUCCUGCCUCAGCCUCCUGAGUAGCUGGGAUUACAGGCACCUGCCACCACACCAACCUAAUUUUUGUAUUUUUAGUAGAGACGGGGUUUCACUGUGUUGGCCAGACUGGUCUGGAAGUCUUGACCUCGUGAUCCACCCACCUCGGCCUCCCAAAGUGCUGGGAUUAUAAGAGUGAGCCACCAUGCUCAGCCUUUGUCACACACUUUUAAACAACCUGAUAUCACAAGACCUCACUCACUAUCUCAACACAGUACCAGGGGAAAAUCUGCCCCUAUGAUCCAAUCACCCCACCAGGCCCCACCUCCAACACUGGAGAUUACAAUUUGACAUAAGAUUUGGGUGGAGAUACAGGUUCAAACCAUGUCACAUGAAAACACUAUAAACAAGUAACCGGGGAUCAGCACACCUCUUCUUAAAUGAAGAGACAAUAAAUACUUGUUAGACUUUGAAGGCCAUAUGGUCUCUGUUGCAACUACUCAACUCUGCCAUCAGAGUGAAAAACAGUCUUGAGGCCGGGCGUGGUGGCUCAAGCCUGUAAUCCCUGCACUUUGGGAGGCCAAGACGGGCGGAUCACGAGGUCAGGAGAUCGAGACCAUCCUGGCUAACAAGGUGAAACCUCGUCUCUACUAAAAAAUACAAAAAACUAGCUGGGCGAGGGGGUGGGCACCUGUAGUCCCAGCUACUCAGGAGGCUGAGGCAGGAGAAUGGCAUAAACCUGGGAGGCAGAGCUUGCAGUGAGCUGAGAUCCGGCCACUGCACUCCAGCCUGGGUGACAGAGCGAGACGCCGUCUCAGAAAAAAAAAAAAAAAAAAAAAAAAAAGGCCACAAUGGAAAACAGUCCGGCAGUUCCUCAAAAAGUUAAACAUAGAAUUACCAUGUAAUUCAGCAAUUCCACUUCUAAGUAUAUUCCCCAAAUAAUUGAAAACAGGUACAUGAAUGUUCAUAAUAGCACUAUUGACAGUAGCCCCAAAGGGAAAACAACCCAAAUGUCCAUCAACUGACGAAUGGAUUUUAAAAAUGAGUUAUAUUCAUAUAAUGCAAGGGUAUCCAAUCUUUUGGCUUCCUUGGGCUGCACUGGAAGAAAAAUUGUCUAGGGUCACACAUAAAAUACACUAACGAUAUAGCUGAUGAGUUAAAAAAAAAUUGCAAAAAAAAAAUCUCAUAAUGUUUUAGGAAAGUUUACAAAUUUUUGUUGGGUGGUAUUCAAAGCUAUCUUGGGUCACAGGUUGGACAAGCUUGAUAUAAUGGAAUAUUACUCAGGCAAUAAAAAGGAAUGAAGUUACAACAUGGAUGAACCUUGCAAACACUAUAC
ensembl:lncRNA